rnacentral:lncRNA from 1 species
GAAGGAUCAUUUCCGUCUUGGAAAUAAAGCAAGAUGGCUGGAUUCAAAGUGCCUUGCAGUCUGAGAAAGAGCCAGAGAGACGUUCUCCUUGAGUCCUACUCUGCAACCAAGCCUUUCCGAGUGGCUGCUCUCUUGUAUACUGGGGAAGGGAGGAUGAUGUUAACCAAAAGGACCCAGCAGCAGACAUGAGGAGCAACAAAGCACAAGACAAGCACACAGAGCACAAGUUGCUGAAAAGGGCACAGACGGCACAGCACAUUCUGCCCAAGCUGGAGAGACAAACAUGAUUAGAAAGAGAUAGAAUGGAAUACACUCCUGACGUCAGUGGGCAAGAGGGGACGAAGCAAUAAAGGGAA